rnacentral:rRNA from 1 species
AACGAGCGCUGGCGGCAUGCCUAACACAUGCAAGUCGAACGAGACCUUCGGGUCUAGUGGCGCACGGGUGCGUAACGCGUGGGAACCUGCCCUUAGGUUCGGAAUAACUCCCCGACAGGGGUGCUAAUACCGGGUAAUGUCCUCGGACCAAAGAUUUGUCGCCUUUGGAUGGGCCCGCGUUGGUUUAGCUAGUUGGUAGGGUAAAAGCCUACCACGGCGACGCUCCAUAGCUGGUCUGAGAGGAUGAUCAGCCACACUGGGACGGAGACACGGCCCAGACUCCUACGGGAGGGAGCAGUGGGGAAUAUUGGACAAUCGGCGAAAGCCUGAUCCAGCAAUGCCGGGUGAGUGAUGAAGGCCUUAGAGUUGUAAAGCUCGUUUACCCGGGAUGAUAAUGACAGUACCGGGAGAAUAAGCUCCGGCUAACUCCGUG